GGUGGCAUCGGUAGUCUAGUGGUUAUGGUCACGAACUCGUGAUUGGCGUGUCAUGAGUUCGAGCCUCAAUGUCACUG